CUCUUCAAAUCAACUUCACUAAUACACUCAAGAGCACCAAAGGAAGGAAUUUCAUGGAGUAGAUUCUAGUUUAAGGACUUGAGUUGGGUGAUUUGAGCUUGUUGGAAGCUUAAACUUGGAAGAGUUUUUCUUUCUUCUUUGAUGAGAGGUUCGGCCAACACAAGGGAAGAAAAUGGUGAAUUUUGUGAAUUUUUGGAGAUAUUUAACCAAUUUUGGUCAAAGGUCAAAAUAGUGAAUAGUAACUCUUAAAGUCAAACCAAUGGAAAAUUGACACUUGGCACUCUAAUAAAUGCAUUCCUAUCCUUUCUUUUCUCUCUCACAUCAAAAAUCUCACUCUCUACUUAUCUCGUAACAUCCGAUAACUUUUCCACAGUAUCCGAAACUUAACCGUAUUGGCCGAAUUUUCCCGAACUUUUCGCACUCGUGGGUCCCACGUCCAAUAUAUAUUCUUAAUUUUCUAAAAACUAUCCAAUACGAGAAAACUCAUCUUAAAACUAUAAUUACUCAUAAAAUUCACCAGGAAAAUAUUCCUAAGCCAGAAAAUGCAGAAAACAUGCAAUUAAGGGGAAAUAAACCCUAGGAAAAAUAUUAGGGUUUUACG
rnacentral:lncRNA from 1 species